rnacentral:rRNA from 1 species
GACGGAGGAGGCAAGCGUUAUCCGGAAUUAUUGGGCGUAAAGCGUCCGCAGGCGGUUAAUUAAGUCUGUUGUUAAAGCCCACAGCUCAACUGUGGAUGGGCAAUGGAAACUGGUCAACUUGAGUGCGGUAGGGGUAGAGGGAAUUCCCGGUGUAGCGGUGAAAUGCGUAGAUAUCGGGAAGAACACCAGUGGCGAAGGCGCUCUACUGGGCCGCAACUGACGCUGAGGGACGAAAGCUAGGGGAGCGAAAGGGAUUAGAUACCCCUGUAGUCCUAGCUGUAAACGAUGGACACUAGGUGUUGCGCGUAUCGACCCGUGCAGUAUCGUAGCUAACGCGUUAAGUGUCCCGCCUGGGGAGUACGCACGCAAGUGUGAA